rnacentral:rRNA from 1 species
UACGGGGGGGGGCAAGCGUUGUUCGGAAUUACUGGGCGUAAAGGGCGCGUAGGCGGCCUGCUAAGUCGAUGUGAAAUCCCUCGGCUCAACCGAGGAACUGCAUCCGAUACUGGCGGGCUUGAAUCCGGGAGAGGGAUGUGGAAAUUCCAGGUGUAGCGGUGAAAAUGCGUAGAUAUCUGGAGGAACACCAAUUGCGAAGGCAGCUCGCUGGGGACGUAAACUGACGCUGAGAC